UUAUGUAGUCACUGUUGUAGUGGGUGGUAGGUAGGUUAUAUAGUCACUGUUGUAGUGGGUGGUAGGUAGGUUAUAUAGUCACUGUUGUAGUGGGUGGUAGGUAGGUUAUAUAGUCACUGUUGUAGUGGGUGGUAGGUAGGUUAUAUAGUCACUGUUGUAGUGGGUGGUAGGUAGGUUAUAUAGUCACUGUUGUAGUGGGCGGUAGGUAGGUUAUAUAGUCACUGUUGUAGUGGGCGGUAGGUAGGUUAUAUAGUCACUGUUGUAGUGGGUGGUAGGUAGGUUAUAUAGUCACUGUUGUAGUGGGUGGUAGGUAGGUUAUAUAGUCACUGUUGUAGUGGGCGGUAGGUAGGUUAUGUAGUCACUGUUGUAGUGGGUGGUAGGUAGGUUAUAUAGUCACUGUUGUAGUGGGUGGUAGGUAGGUUAUAUAGUCACUGUUGUAGUGGGUGGUAGGUAGGUUAUAUAGUCACUGUUGUAGUGGGCGGUAGGUAGGUUAUAGUCACUGUUGUAGUGGGUGGUAGGUAGGUUAUAUAGUCACUGUUGUAGUGGGCGGUAGGUAGGUUAUAGUCACUGUUGUAGUGGGUGGUAGGUAGGUUAUAUAGUCACUGUUGUAGUGGGUGGUAGGUAGGUUAUAUAGUCACUGUUGUAGUGGGUGGUAGGUAGGUUAUAUAGUCACUGUUGUAGUGGGUGGUAGGUAGGUUAUAUAGUCACUGUUGUAGUGGGUGGUAGGUAGGUUAUAUAGUCACUGUUGUAGUGGGUGGUAGGUAGGUUAUAUAGUCACUGUUGUAGUGGGCGGUAGGUAGGUUAUAUAGUCACUGUUGUAGUGGGCGGUAGGUAGGUUAUAUAGUCACUGUUGUAGUGGGUGGUAGGUAGGUUAUAUAGUCACUGUUGUAGUGGGUGGUAGGUAGGUUAUAGUCACUGUUGUAAUGGGCGGUAGGUUAUAUAGUCACUGUUGUAGUGGGCGGUAGGUAGGUUAUAUAGUCACUGUUGUAGUGGGCGGUAGGUAGGUUAUAUAGUCACUGUUGUAGUGGGCGGUAGGUAGGUUAUAUAGUCACUGUUGUAGUGGGUGGUAGGUAGGUUAUAUAGUCACUGUUAUAGUGGGCGGUAGGUAGGUUAUAUAGUCACUGUUGUAGUGGGUGGUAGGUAGGUUAUAUAGUCACUGUUGUAGUGGGUGGUAGGUAGGUUAUAUAGUCACUGUUAUAGUGGGUGGUAGGUAGGUUAUGUAGUCACUGUUAUAGUGGGUGGUAGGUAGGUUAUAUAGUCACUGUUAUAGUGGGUGGUAGGUAGGUUAUAUAGUCACUGUUAUAGUGGGUGGUAGGUAGGUUAUAUAGUCACUGUUGUAGUGGGCGGUAGGUAGGUUAUAUAGUCACUGUUGUAGUGGGCGGUAGGUAGGUUAUAUAGUCACUGUUGUAGUGGGCGGUAGGUAGGUUAUAUAGUCACUGUUGUAGUGGGCGGUAGGUAGGUUAUAUAGUCACUGUUGUAGUGGGCGGUAGGUAGGUUAUGUAGUCACUGUUGUAGUGGGCGGUAGGUAGGUUAUAUAGUCACUGUUGUAGUGGGUGGUAGGUAGGUUAUAUAGUCACUGUUGUAGUGGGCGGUAGGUAGGUUAUAUAGUCACUGUUGUAGUGGGCGGUAGGUAGGUUAUGUAGUCACUGUUGUAGUGGGCGGUAGGUAGGUUAUAUAGUCACUGUUGUAGUGGGUGGUAGGUAGGUUAUAUAGUCACUGUUGUAGUGGGCGGUAGGUAGGUUAUAGUCACUGUUGUAGUGGGCGGUAGGUAGGUUAUAGUCACUGUUGUAGUGGGCGGUAGGUAGGUUAUAUAGUCACUGUUGUAGUGGGCGGUAGGUAGGUUAUAUAGUCACUGUUGUAGUGGGUGGUAGGUAGGUUAUAGUCACUGUUGUAGUGGGCGGUAGGUUAUAUAGUCACUGUUGUAGUGGGCGGUAGGUAGGUUAUAUAGUCACUGUUGUAGUGGGUGGUAGGUAGGUUAUAUAGUCACUGUUGUAGUGGGCGGUAGGUAGGUUAUAUAGUCACUGUUGUAGUGGGUGGUAGGUAGGUUAUAUAGUCACUGUUGUAGUGGGCGGUAGGUAGGUUAUAUAGUCACUGUUGUAGUGGGUGGUAGGUAGGUUAUAUAGUCACUGUUGUAGUGGGCGGUAGGUAGGUUAUAUAGUCACUGUUGUAGUGGGUGGUAGGUAGGUUAUAUAGUCACUGUUGUAGUGGGCGGUAGGUAGGUUAUAUAGUCACUGUUGUAGUGGGCGGUAGGUAGGUUAUAGUCACUGUUGUAGUGGGCGGUAGGUAGGUUAUAGUCACUGUUGUAGUGGGCGGUAGGUAGGUUAUAUAGUCACUGUUGUAGUGGGCGGUAGGUAGGUUAUAUAGUCACUGUUGUAGUGGGCGGUAGGUAGGUUAUAUAGUCACUGUUGUAGUGGGUGGUAGGUAGGUUAUAUAGUCACUGUUGUAGUGGGCGGUAGGUAGGUUAUAUAGUCACUGUUGUAGUGGGUGGUAGGUAGGUUAUAUAGUCACUGUUGUAGUGGGCGGUAGGUAGGUUAUAUAGUCACUGUUGUAGUGGGCGGUAGGUAGGUUAUAUAGUCACUGUUGUAGUGGGCGGUAGGUAGGUUAUAUAGUCACUGUUGUAGUGGGCGGUAGGUAGGUUAUAUAGUCACUGUUGUAGUGGGCGGUAGGUAGGUUAUAUAGUCACUGUUGUAGUGGGCGGUAGGUAGGUUAUAUAGUCACUGUUGUAGUGGGCGGUAGGUAGGUUAUAUAGUCACUGUUGUAGUGGGCGGUAGGUAG